UUCAGGUGUGGGUGCAGCUUGAUGCUUGGCCAUGUCUCCGUUUCCACCUACAACUGUAGGGUACGUGAGGGCGAUCGAUCGAUCUCCUUUCCUUCGAUCACUGGAGCUUCAGACUCGGUGGAACGGUCAAGCCGCUUGAUUGACCGCCAAGGCAGGAGCAGCAGCAUUAUUCUUUUUCCGACUAGUAAAUCUCGGCCACUGAGGCCAGGUGCUAGUGGGACUGGGCUUGGACAUGUCUUGUUUUGCAUAUUGGAUGUUUGUAUUCUUCUCAUUGUUGCGUUUCUCUGAAUUUUUGCUCUGUCCAUUCAUGUGUUCCCACUGAAUCUGUAUAUUUCUCUGAACUCAGUGAUAUAUCAAGUGUGAAAUUUAUUCUUACUAGUUCCUGGCCUUCAUUUUUGCCAUUUCUACGCAUGGUGUCUGCAGGAAAGGAUCCGAUGUUUGCGUUGGGCCGUCAACAGAGAUUGGAGCUAUAGAAUUGGCCCUUAUGAAUUGUUCAGGCAGAUCAACAAAUACAUAUUUUUUCGGACGACCAUAUCUACCCGAUUUGACUCGCUUGAGGAGGCAUACGAGUUCUAUAACAUGUACUCAUGGGAAUUGCUUUCGGGCAUUUUUGGUACAUGACCAGUUAGAUGAACGGCGAUCAGUACUGGUCAUCUCAGGAUCUAGGGUGCCAGAUGGAGGUAUAGAUCGACAUGAAUUUUACUUUUGUUGUUCUGAAUUCUCGAUUGGUUUGCUGCACACGCAUGAUACCAUAUCAUUUUUGUUCUUCAGGGUGUUGACUUGAGGUGCUAGAAUGACUCUAUGAGAUUUGGUUUCAAAGGCAGUGAUCCAGCUUCACAAGUCCGACGACCAUGGUUGCUUUGUGGCGCCGCCGUGUUCCCCGACAUCUCCAUGCCGCUGCCCCUAUCUCCCAGCUCGCAACGGCGGGGCUCAUCAGAUACUACCGAGUAUCUCAUCAAGUUCAAAUAAUUUGAACAUGCAAACAUGUUGUGUUCAAGAAGGUCAAGUGUGUUAUGUGCAUCACCUCGCCCCCACUAAAUCUUCUGCAUUUUUGUGUAUUCUUCAAAAGUUCAGGUCAUCAUGAGUUGCUUCGAUUGAGCUACUGCUAUGAAAAAGUUCACCUCAGAGGCAGUUCUAUGCGUGCAAACCGGAAGGACGACGAACCACGCCUGGUGUCGCUGCCAUCUUGGACAGAUGGAGGAAGAAGGUCACCAUAGAGCUAGGGAGAAGGUCACAUAAGGUGCAGGAAGAUUGUCAGAGUGCAGGAACGGCUGUGUGAUCUUUGUGCUGUUUUGGGGUGCAAAUUAACAUGGGUAUGCGAUCUCACAUCCUGUGUAUUCUUGAGAUGGCCUACCUUAGCCUCAAAACCAUAUGGCCUAUAUACAUGUACAGAACCUACAACAACUUUAUGGGGAGUUGAUGGAUUAUUCAAUGGUUGUUGCUGCCACUAUUGAUUUUUUUUCUUGAGAUGGUCUUCAUCACCGUUCAAAAUAAUACAAAUGCUUCUUG
rnacentral:lncRNA from 1 species